rnacentral:rRNA from 1 species
GACGAACGCUGGCGGCGUGCUUAACACAUGCAAGUCGAACGAUGAAGCCUAGCUUGCUAGGUGGAUUAGUGGCGAACGGGUGAGUAAUACGUGAGUAACCUACCUUUAACUCUGGGAUAAGCCUGGGAAACUGGGUCUAAUACCGGAUACGACCAAUCUCCGCAUGGGGUGUUGGUGGAAAGCGUUAUGUAGUGGUUAUAGAUGGGCUCACGGCCUAUCAGCUUGUUGGUGAGGUAACGGCUCACCAAGGCGACGACGGGUAGCCGGCCUGAGAGGGUGACCGGCCACACUGGGACUGAGACACGGCCCAGACUCCUACGGGAGGCAGCAGUGGGGAAUAUUGCACAAUGGGCGCAAGCCUGAUGCAGCGACGCCGCGUGAGGGAUGACGGCCUUCGGGUUGUAAACCUCUGUUAGCAGGGAAGAAGAGAGAUUGACGGUACCUGCAGAGAAAGCGCCGGCUAACUACGUGCCAGCAGCCGCGGUAAUACGUAGGGCGCGAGCGUUGUCCGGAAUUAUUGGGCGUAAAGAGCUUGUAGGCGGUUUGUCGCGUCUGCUGUGAAGGCCGGGGCUUAACCCCGUGUAUUGCAGUGGGUACGGGCAGACUAGAGUGCAGUAGGGGAGACUGGAAUUCCUGGUGUAGCGGUGGAAUGCGCAGAUAUCAGGAGGAACACCGAUGGCGAAGGCAGGUCUCUGGGCUGUAACUGACGCUGAGAAGCGAAAGCAUGGGGAGCGAACAGGAUUAGAUACCCUGGUUGUCCAUGCCGUAAACGUUGGGCACUAGGUGUGGGGGACAUUCCACGUUUUCCGCGCCGUAGCUAACGCAUUAAGUGCCCCGCCUGGGGAGUACGGCCGCAAGGCUAAAACUCAAAGAAAUUGACGGGGGCCCGCACAAGCGGCGGAGCAUGCGGAUUAAUUCGAUGCAACGCGAAGAACCUUACCAAGGCUUGACAUAUACUGGACCGCAUCAGAGAUGGUGUUUCCCUUCGGGGCUGGUAUACAGGUGGUGCAUGGUUGUCGUCAGCUCGUGUCGUGAGAUGUUGGGUUAAGUCCCGCAACGAGCGCAACCCUCGUUCUAUGUUGCCAGCACGUUAUGGUGGGGACUCAUAGGAGACUGCCGGGGUCAACUCGGAGGAAGGUGGGGAUGACGUCAAAUCAUCAUGCCCCUUAUGUCUUGGGCUUCACGCAUGCUACAAUGGCCGGUACAGAGGGUUGCGAUACUGUGAGGUGGAGCUAAUCCCUAAAAGCCGGUCUCAGUUCGGAUUGGGGUCUGCAACUCGACCCCAUGAAGUCGGAGUCGCUAGUAAUCGCAGAUCAGCAACGCUGCGGUGAAUACGUUCCCGGGCCU